rnacentral:rRNA from 1 species
CAUAGUACGCUUUGGAAACUGUUUAACUUGAGUGCAGAAGGGGAGAGUGGAAUUCCAUGUGUAGCGGUGAAAUGCGUAGAUAUAUGGAGGNACACCGGUGGCGAAAGCGGCUCUCUGNUCUGUAACUGACGCUGAGGCUCGAAAGCGUGGGGAGCGANCAGGAUUAGAUACCCUGGUAGUCCACGCCGUAAACGAUGAGUGCUAGGUGUUAGGCCCUUUCCGGGGCUUAGUGCCGCAGCUAACGCAUUAAGCACUCCGCCUGGGGAGUACGACCGCAAGGUUGAAACUCAAAGGAAUUGACGGGGGCCCGCACAAGCGGUGGAGCAUGUGGUUUAAUUCGAAGCAACGCGAAGAACCUUACCAGGUCUUGACAUCCCGAUGCCCGCUCUAGAGAUAGAGUUUUACUUCGGUACAUCGGUGACAGGUGGUGCAUGGUUGUCGUCAGCUCGUGUCGUGAGAUGUUGGGUUNNNNNNNNNNANCGAGCGCAACCCUUAUUGUUAGUUGCCAUCAUUCAGUUGGGCACUCUAGCGAGACUGCCGGUAAUAAACCGGAGGAAGGUGGGGAUGACGUCAAAUCAUCAUGCCCCUUAUGACCUGGGCUACACACGUGCUACAAUGGCUGGUACAACGAGUCGCAAGUCGGUGACGGCAAGCUAAUCUCUUAAAGCCAGUCUCAGUUCGGAUUGUAGGCU